UACGAAGGGGGCUAGCGUUGCUCGGAAUCACUGGGCGUAAAGCGCACGUAGGCGGACUCUUAAGUCAGGGGUGAAAUCCUGGAGCUCAACUCCAGAACUGCCUUUGAUACUGGGAGUCUUGAGUUCGGGAGAGGUGAGUGGAACUGCGAGUGUAGAGGUGAAAUUCGUAGAUAUUCGCAAGAACACCAGUGGCGAAGGCGGCUCACUGGCCCGAUACUGACGCUGAGGAGCGAAAGCGUGGGGAGCAAACAGG
rnacentral:rRNA from 1 species